rnacentral:rRNA from 1 species
CUGUUGCCUCGGCGGGAUCUCUGCCCCGGGUGCGUCGCAGCCCCGGACCAAGGCGCCCGCCGGAGGACCAACCAAAACUCUUAUUGUAUACCCCCUCGCGGGUUUUUUUUAUAAUCUGAGCCUUCUCGGCGCCUCUCGUAGGCGKUUCRAAAAUGAAUCAAAACUUUCAACAACGGAUCUCUUGGUUCUGGCAUCGAUGAAGAACGCAGCGAAAUGCGAUAAGUAAUGUGAAUUGCAGAAUUCAGUGAAUCAUCGAAUCUUUGAACGCACAUUGCGCCCGCCAGUAUUCUGGCGGGCAUGCCUGUCCGAGCGUCAUUUCAACCCUCSAACCCCUCCGGGGGGUCGGCGUUGGGGAUCGGCCCUCCCUUAGCGGGUGGCCGUCUCCGAAAUACAGUGGCGGUCUCGCCGCAGCCUCUCCUGCGCAGAGUUUGCACACUCGCAUCGGGAGCGCGGCGCGUCCACAGCCGUUAAACACCCAACUUCUGAAAUGUUGACCUC